GCGGCCCGGCCCUCACGGCAAGUUUAAAGAGGCGGCGGCCCCUCCUCCGCCCGCGGCCGCCCUGCCGAGCCUGGGUGCGCCUCCGGGAGCCGCCCCGGGCUGCCCGGCCCCGCCGCCGUGGGGAAGCGGAGACAGAAUCCAGACCAGAACCACUGAGGAACUUGGAAGCAGUGCUUUGACCCUCUGGAGAAACAGCUUCCCUCUAAGGAUGAAGAGUGUGAGAAAGUGCUGAAGCAGCUCCUGCUUGCAAUGAGGAAAAAGUGCAAUUUUAGCUGUUUCUGAGGGACAGAAUAAGGCUAAUGAAAUCAUGUCAGGUCACCUUGCAGAACAGAUGCCUUGCAGCAGAAGAAUUAGGAAAGAAGGAGGGCUGAGUGAUACUGGCAUGUAUCUAUCAUGUCAUGUCCUGAUCUUACUGAGGAGGAAACGAGUCCUGCAUUCCUGUGCCAGUGCUGUGGCAGAAACACAGAUGUGGUGAUUCAUACCACUGAACAAGUCCUGAUGUGAAGAAUUCCCCCUAGCAACAAAUGAGGUGGUUUAUCUACUGGAUUUCAACUCGUGGAGCCAGGAAUAAGCAAGGAGAUUGGGACGGCUUCUGGAGAAUCCAGGGACAUGCCUCAAGACACAGAGGAGCAGGCCAGCAGGAGAGAGCCUGGCAUCCCGUGGCCCAGCCUCCAAGAUGAAUAGCACAGCUGACCCUUCUGGAUCCACUGCUAUUAGCUGUAAAAAUGAAAAGAUAGCAGAGAAGUGUGGAUAAGUGGGAAGCUUUUGAGAGUGCUUUGUGAGACAUCUUGAGUGGUGUGAACUUGAAGAGCACCCCAAAACCCUGGGGAAGGGCAUGCUGUAGACACUGAUGAGAACCAGCAGGAAAGCAAAGCCUUUUUGUCAGACAAAUACAGCAACAGCAACUUAAGGAAAAGGAUGAGAGCUGCUUCCCAAAUUAGAUAAGUGCCUGCCAAGCUCUUUCACCUCCUCACCCAGGCAUCUGCCUGGACAGCUCAAGUCAUCUGCUGCCCAAGCAUGGAAACAUAAUAAAAUUCCUACUUUCACUUGCCAUCUUGCGAACGGCUCAUCACCAGCCACGAAGUGCACGGCCUCUGUGAUGUUCAGGAGUGGGAUCUGGCAGUCCACAGCCUCAGAGCUCAGGAAAUCUGCUUUUGUGCUUUCUUCUUCCCUUGAUAUCCAUUCGCCAUUGAGAUGCUACAGUAAAGCAGAGGGAGAGUGCAGAAAAUGAAGGCUCAUAAAGAGAUUCCAGUGGAGCCAACAGGAGGCAGCUUACGAUUAGCCUGGUGACCUGGCAGUGCAGGCUGGGAGAGUCUUUGAAGCCGAGGCCAAACACCCGGAUCCUGCUGCACUCCGAGGCUCGGAUGUCGCAGAGGCCCCCGUUCUCCAAGGCUGUGAUUUCCAAAGCUUGCUCUGCAGGUGUUGUUGCAUUUUAGCCAGUUCCAAUCAAAAAUGGGAGAGGAAAUCUCCAUUCCAUUGGCUUUGGAAAAGUCUCCUGGCAGCUGGGCACUCAAACACCCAGACCCUGCUCUUGCUGGGUGCAGGGAUCAAGGUGUGCUUCAUGGAGGGGAAGUCCAGAGAGCUGCUGACAUCAGAAGGGAACAUUGGAGAGCCUGAAAAAACCCAGCAAAAGAGCUGCAAGGAGUUCAGCUGAAGACUGGAGGGAAGAAGGACAGGAGCAAUAAAAAGAGCUGGGAAACAUCACAAAGCCUCACACAUCCUAAGUAAAAGUUUAGCACAAACAAAUCCAUGUGGCCCUUCCUGCUCCGUUCCUUCUUGCAUGAUUUCAGCAGAAGACACAAUUCCUGGCGGGAGGCACGACAAGUUUGCUGAGGAAACCCUGUUUACAGGUGCUAAUAUUUCUGGGAUGACAGUGUUAUCUUUAUGGGUCCAUGCCCAGGGAAUGAAGACAAGUCGUUCUCAUGACAAAGAAAGAGAUGAAUCUCUGUUCUGGAAAACAAUUAUCUUUCACUGUCUGGAGUAUAAGGAGGUGUCUGCUGGGAGUUAUUUAAUUUAAAAUAAACAGGUGUUUUGAUGUGAAAAGGGAGGGUUCUCAAGUAAGUUUUUGGUGAACUACGGAUCCACAACUGCAAGGCAAAUGCAGCAGCACUGUGGCCAGCACACAUUUUUCAGAAGCCCGCAGUGCUCCUUCAGAUAAACUAAUGGAGCCUAAAGACAAUAAAGGCUCAGAGCAAAUGUGGUUGUGCAGACACCCAGCAGCAGAUCCUCAGCCUUAAGUAUAUAUAGAUAGCUCAAUAGAUAACAGCCCGAGUGUCAUCCCAGGAAACAGCCUCGGGAUGGAGCAACCCAGGGCUGGAGCUGGGUUUAGCUUAAGCUGCAGAAAUGAGUUGAUCGAAACUAACAGGAAUUUUCCACUUCAGUGACAACUUCCUUCAAAUAUGAGUUAAUUGGACGAGCUGUGCCUUCCUCCUGGCACCUCUUGGCACCAACACAUCAAGCCCAUUGACAGCUUGAAAAUAGAGCUGCUUCUGCAAGUCCUGCGUCCUCUCUUUCUUCCAGUCAAGUGCUCACUGUGGGACUGGAGGAGACCUUGGUGAGGGGUCAGUCCCAGUCCAAUGUGCUGAGCUCAGCCUCCCCCACCUGAGAGCUCCUGGCCCACGCUCCCAGUGUCAGAGAGACUCUGAAAGCCUUGGUGGAAGCCUAAGAAAAUGUGAGUUAAACAAAUGGCCUUUACCGGGACUAAUUCCUGUCUGACCUUCAGUGUCUGAGUUGUUUGGGGUCUGUGGGGAUGUCCCAGCACACACCAGCCCUGACAUCCCAGUCCCUCAGUGUGAGGCAGCCUUUCCUCCUCCUGGCUAUCCAAGGAAAUCCACUCCCAAGAGCUCAGAGAUGCCUUCCUGAUGGAGCAGCCCAGACUCCAAGCCAAGAGCAGUGUGUAGAACAGAGCAGCACUGAGCCAUGGAGAAAUGCAAAGUACUGCACUCACGAGAGCCAGCGCAGCUGCUGGAACCAUAAGGUGCUGCUCAGUUUAAGUUCAUUGUGUUAUGAUACCAUUUAAAUUAUUUUUCUUUCUUCUGUCUAAGCACUUGGCUGGUGGUGAGGAGAGCUUGGAAAGGGAAUUAAAAAGAGAAAUAUAUCAGGACCUAUCUGGAUUUUGUCAACAUUUUUUAGAGCUGGCUUUUUGUGGGUAGGGAAAUUGCAGCUGUAAUCCUAUCUAAACAUUUCUCUCAUUGAGUCACUUAUGGAAGAGAAAUAAGUGACUUACUAUAAAAAAGCUUGGGUGUUUUAUUUAGUGCAAAUGGAAAGUAAAUACCCACGUGCCACCCUUAGGCAGGAUGAGUAUUCCACCUGACUGACCUGAAGACAGCAUUUACUGAAUAAAAGGGCAAGAGUUUUCUCAGUGACAUUGUCAAUGUUUUCAAGUUAGCAAAAUAAAAAACCCCUAAAUGUUUAGAAAGAGAAUAAUACAUAAGCACAAGAAUGAUUUUUUCCUUCUGUAUUAAGUUAGACACAAACUAUAACCCAGCAAAAGAAAGAAAAAAGGCUUCACUAUGCAUUUACUGAAUAAUAAAUCUGCAGGGGAGCUUUUUAUUGAUAAUUAAUGAAAUUAUUCUACCUAAGAACAUUCCUGCUACAAAAGAACCCAAAACCUAAAAGUGGAAUUUUACGCUCCUGGAAUUUAAAAUAAGUUUUUCUACUCUCAGUUAUUUCAUCCAUAAAUCUCAACAGACUACUGUUCAGGUUAUUGCUAGUCAUAUUUAUGGCUUUGGGGUUUUUUUCUCUCAAAAAUCUGUCAGAUAUAUUCAGCUGGUUUAUUUUGCAGAUAAAAAUAUGGCCUAGUUUGCUGAUUUUAUGGCUUCUGCCCUUUGGUAUUAUUUAUAUAUGAUAUUUUCUAUUAGAAUUCAUUGUAAACGAAAUAACAGAAAAAGCAAUCACAUUGAUUAGAUGUCAAUAUGUAAAGCUCUUACCCAAGUCCUCAGUACUUAAUUGCAAAGUAAUUUUACAGGAAUCAUCCUGCCCAGGACAGGCAAUGGGUACUGUGCUCAGGACAGUCAAAACAUGCUCCUUGCCAUCCUCUGCAAUUUCCAGUGAUUCUGGUAAAAACUGGAAAUAAGAAAACAACUUUAAGAUAAUUUUGACAGGCAAGAGUGAUGACGGAUUAAUCAGGCAACACUGACAUCUGUGAAGUCUGAAGUGGUUUUAACCAAUUAUUAAGAUAUUACUUGCAAAAUAAUAAUAAUCUUUAUCAUAAUCUCCUUAAUAAUAAUAAAUUUUGCAAUAGCGAUCUUCAACUUUAUAAGGUAAAAUUGCUUUUAACAUUUUUUGGCAAUUAAGAAAAUGUUUGCAGUUCCUAUAUAUAAUGUUCAAUUGCUUCUCAUUUCCAAAUCAGAAAUCCAGCUUUUAUUAAGCCUGAAAAUAAUACUGUGGAAUUUAUUUAAUUUUUAAUAUCCCUGGUGUAAAGGAGCUCCUACCCCAGUGCAGUAGGAGGAAUAGCAUGGCAUAAAGUCUGGCAUAGCCUCAUGGUCAUGGACCCCAUGUUUGUAGUCUGCACCAGGUGCAAAAUAAUUGCAAGUUUUCUCCAAUUCCCCUUCCCUGCUAUGGAAGGAAGAAUUGCUUUGCAGAUAAAAUAUUACAGGUUUGGAGACCCCGGCCCCUGGGACAGAGAGCUGGGGUUCUGCCUUUUCUGUCUGCCCAUUGUCCUGGGAAAAGAGCAGAAACAGCACUCAAGGCUGGUUGCAAAUGGGAAAUUCCACUCCCUGGAAAAUUCUGACAUUUAAAAAAAUUCCUCAGAAAUUGUUCUUCAGAUACCACACAGAAUGGGCUGCCAGAUGUUUGAAACCCCUUUGAUAGAGGCAUGACACUUGGAUACUCAGAAGAUCCCAAAAUCUCCCGGGCUGCCCGGCUGCCAGCUUAAUCCUUGAGUGGGAUUAGACCUGGUCCUUGCACUCAGUGUGAAUUUCUCUUCAGCAACUUCUGUUUUGCAAUGCCUGACCGCAACAAGAUGAUGGAUAAAAAUUAAUAUUUUGUCUUCACUUUGUUUAGUUACAACAGAAUUGUAAUGAAACAAUUACAACUAAAAAAAAUAAACAAUCCUUUGUUUGUAGGUUUGUAGAGUGUCUUCCCAUCCCACAAAACCCCCAGAGCUGUUCAGGGCACAUUUACUAGCACUCGUAGCUUUGCCCAUACUUUGUGGCACACCAGUGUCCACACCUGCACACAGUGCCAGUGGUGCUCCAGGGUGUUUUACAGACAAACUGAAAGCCAUUUUCUCACAGUGAAGAGCACUGUGCUUGUGACCAUCAGGAUUUAUGUUUCUUCAUCAUGAUUUUCAGAUAUUCCCCAUGCAGUGACUCAGGGCCAUGGGCGUUACCUUAAUCCCAGCAUAGAAACCUUUGCUGUCCUCAGGCAGUGACUGCUGCUCAGGAGAGCCCCUCCUAAAAGCUGUGACAGUGCAAAAGACCUGUAAUAAACAAAUAAACAGCACAUGCUAUAGCAUUUCUU